rnacentral:rRNA from 1 species
GCGCAGCAGUCGAGAAUCCUCCGCAAUGCGGGAAACCGUGACGGGGUCACCCCGAGUGCCACCCGAUGAGGGUGGCUUUUCCCCGGUCUAAAAAGCCGGGGGCAAUAAGCGGGGGCAAGUCUGGUGUCAGCCGCCGCGGUAAUACCAGCCCCGCGAGUGGUCGGGACGUUUAUUGGGCCUAAAGCGUCCGUAGCCGGCUCGGCAAGUCCCUCCUUAAAUCCACGGGCUCAACCCGUGGGCUGGGAGGGAUACUGCCGGGCUAGGGGGCGGGAGAGGCCGAGGGUACUCCCGGGGUAGGGGCGAAAUCCGUUAAUCCCGGGAGGACCACCAGUGGCGAAGGCGCUCGGCUGGAACGCGCCCGACGGUGAGGGACGAAAGCUAGGGGAGCAAAGGGGAUUAGAUACCCGCGUAGU